rnacentral:rRNA from 1 species
UACAGAGGGUGCAAGCGUUGCUCGGAAUUACUGGGCGUAAAGCGCACGUAGGCGGCUUCUUAAGUCGGAGGUGAAAUCCUGGAGCUCAACUCCAGAACUGCCUUCGAUACUGGGAAGCUCGAGUCCGGGAGAGGUGAGUGGAACUGCGAGUGUAGAGGUGAAAUUCGUAGAUAUUCGCAAGAACACCAGUGGCGAAGGCGGCUCACUGGCCCGGUACAGACGCUGAGGUGCGAAAGCGUGGGGAGCAAACAGG